rnacentral:rRNA from 1 species
GGGGCCCGCACAAGCGGCGGAGCAUGCGGAUUAAUUCGAUGCAACGCGAAGAACCUUACCAAGGCUUGACAUAUACGAGAACGCACGAGAGAUCGUGCACUCUUUGGACACUCGUAUACAGGUGGUGCAUGGUUGUCGUCAGCUCGUGUCGUGAGAUGUUGGGUUAAGUCCCGCAACGAGCGCAACCCUCGUUCUAUGUUGCCAGCACGUAAUGGUGGGAACUCAUAGGAGACUGCCGGGGUCAACUCGGAGGAAGGUGGGGAUGACGCCAAAUCAUCAUGCCCCUUAUGUCUUGGGCUUCAAGCGUGCUACAAUGGCCGGUACAAAGGGCUGCAAUACCGUAAGGUGGAGCGAAUCCCAAAAAGCCGGUCUCAGUUCGGAUUGAGGUCUGCAACUCGACCUCAUGAAGUCGGAGUCGCUAGUAAUCGCAGAUCAGCAACGCUGCGGUGAAUACGUUCCCGGGUCUUGUACACACCGCCCGUCAAGUCAUGAAAGUCGGUAACACCCGAAGCCAGUGGCCUAACCGCAAGGAAGGAGCUGUCGAAGGUGGGAUCGGUAAUUAGGACUAAGUCGUAACAAGGUAACCGUAAGGGC